AAUGAACGCUGGCGGCGUGCGUAACACAUGCAAGUCGAACGAGAAAUUCCGGGCUUGCUCGGGAGAGUAAAGUGGCGAACGGGUGAGUAACGCGUGGGUAACCUGCCCCUGAAUCUGGAAUAACUUCGCGAAAGCGAGGCUAAUACCGGAUAUUGUCCCAGGGACCGUGUCCUUGUGAUGAAAGAUGACCUCUUCACGAAAGUUGUCGUUCAGGGAGGGGCCCGCGUACCAUUAGCUAGUUGGUAGGGUAAUGGCCUACCAAGGCGAUGAUGGUUAGCGGGUCUGAGAGGAUGACCAGCCACACUGGCACUAGAACACGGGCCAGACUCCUACGGGAGGCAGCAGUGAGGAAUUUUGCGCAAUAGGGGAAACCCUGACGCAGCAACGCCGCGUGAGUGAAGAAGGCCCUCGGGUCGUAAAGCUCUGUCAAGUGGGAAAAAAGCUUACUGGUAAACAGCCAGGAAGACUGAUGGUACCAUUGAAGGAAGCACCGGCUAACUCCGUGCCAGCAGCCGCGGUAACAC
rnacentral:rRNA from 1 species